UGCUCUCUCCAGCCCGACGUGAACAAGGGAGCGGCAACACACAGCGAGAUAACAAAAUAAAAAAAAUAAAAACAAAAAAAAAAGCGCUCAACCUGAGGGGGAAAAGCCGCGGAAAAGAAAAGACGCGCGUGGAAGUGGAGGCGGUAGUGUCGCGCUGAGGAAGACUCCCGAGGAGGGGAACGACGGCAGCUGGCGAGUCUCCGGAGUGUCCUGACUCCCGCUCCUGCAGGUACUGGCAGAACAGGAGAAUCUGAGCUCCCCACUGGCGAGGACUGUCACUGAGCAAACACUCUGAUGCCAGAAUGAGCACAGAAGUACCGCGUGGCAACCUGCCCCGUGGUGGAGACCAGAAGCAGCAGGACAAAUGCAGCCCCACACUACGCUCCACAGGCCAAGCUUGAACCGCACACCUGAGCACCAACGGACCAGAUCCCACCGUACGGGGCAGAGGAGCGCGGUUCGGCUCGGUGUGCUGCGGGAGCGCCCGUGCCGAGGGGUCAGGGGGUGUGUGUGUUUUUCGGAGGGUAAGAGCUCACCCAGGAGCGCAGGUCCUUCUCCCGGUGGGCGCUGCGGCUCCUCAUGCGGGACAGCGGCCCCUCCAGGGGGCUCUCCGCCGGCGCCGACCUGCGCGACACGCUCCGCGACCGCGCCCGCGUCAGGUCCUG